GCAGGGACAGCAAGAUGGUGUCACAGAGGCAGGUCCUCAUAUCCUUGAUGCUGUGGGUCUCAGGUGCCUGCGGGGCGAUUAUGAUGACACAGUCUCCAGGCUUCCUGGCUGGGUCUCUAGGUCAGCAAGUAACCAUGAACUGCAGGGCCAGUCAGAGUGUUGGCUUGUCCAUAGCUUGGUACCAGCAGAAACCCGGGCAGCAUCCUAAGCAGCUCAUCUACAAUGGAAACAACUGGGCAUCUGGAGUCUCCGACCGAUUCAGCGGCAGUGGGUUUGGGACAGAUUUCACCCUCACCAUCAGCAACCUCCAGGCUGAAGAUGUGGCGACUUAUUACUGUCAGCAGCUUUAUAGCUCUCCUCCUACAGUGCUGCAGCCUCGUACACAAACCUCCUCCCCAGGGCCGUGGGGCAGGGAGGCUUGGCUGCACCUGCUGCUUCCUCCCUGCUGAGCCCUGAACACGCAGGUUCUGUGUCUGCCUGAGAAGCCACCUCUCCAGACUACUCCUUACAGGGUUGUUUAAGGCCCAGGGGGAAAUAAAGGGGAAGGCUUCUUCUGGAUCCUUUUUAGUGGGAGAGUAGUGAACACGAAUGCCAAUAAGACCUCUUGCAGAAGCUGUUAGGAGUUGUUGUGUCGAAAGAGGUGGCGUGCUUUGCACAGACAGAUGGCAUAAUUGAAUCAGUAAGGUUCGUCUCUAGCCUUUGGCGAAAGGUCC